rnacentral:rRNA from 1 species
AACGUAGGACGCAAGCGUUAUCCGGAGUUACUGGGCGUAAAGCGCGGGCAGGCGGCUCGAAACGUCUGAUGUGAAAUCUCCUCGCUCAACGGGGAGAGGCCAUUGGAAACGGUCGGGCUGGAGGGCAGUAGAGGUAGGCGGAAUUCCGGGUGGAGUGGUGAAAUGCGUAGAUAUCGGGAGGAACACCAGUGGCGAAGGCGACUACCUGGCCUGUUCUUGACGCUGAGGCGCGAAAGCUAGGGGAGCAAACGGG